UAGAUGCGAGAGUAGAGCAUAUCAAUAAGCGGAGGAAAAGAAACUAACAAGGAUUCCCUUAGUAACGGCGAGUGAAGCGGGAAGAGCUCAAAUUUGAAAUCUUCAAGGUUUUACCUUGACGAAUUGUAGUUUAAAGAAGUGUUUUCUGUUGAAGUUUUGGUAAAAGUUCUUUGGAAUAGGACAUCAUAGAGGGUGAGAAUCCCGUAUUUGACCAUUAUUUUCAGCUGUGUGAUACACUUUCAAGGAGUCGGAUUGUUUGGGAAUGCAGUCCAAAAUGGGUGGUAAAUUUCAUCUAAAGCUAAAUAUUGGCGAGAGACCGAUAGCGAACAAGUACCGUGAGGGAAAGAUGAAAAGAACUUUGAAAAGAGAGUUAAACAGUACGUGAAAUUGUCAAAAGGGAAGCGUUUGACACCAGUGUUGUUUUCUCGAAAAUCAAUUAAGAAUGCCGAUUUUGUUUUGAAGUAUUGACCUUAAUAGGCUUGCUUCAUCUCUUUACUUGUAACUUUUUAAUGCACUUUUCGGUUAACAAGUCAACAUCAAUUUCUUUUGUUGUAAAAGGGUCAUUGAGGAAGGUGGCUUUCUUUUCGGAGAAAGUGUUUAUAGCCUUUGUAUCCUCUGCAAUCCGGAGAGACUGAGGUCUGCAGCGUAGACUCUUCGGGGUUAGAUACAUUUGUGCUAGGCUAUAGCUUUUAUAGACAACUUGUUGACUAUGAUUAAGUCUUGUAGCUUACUCGCUUAUGCUAUUUUACCUACGCUUAGGAUGUUGACGAGACUGUCGAUCUC
rnacentral:rRNA from 1 species